AUUGAACGCUGGCGGCAGGCCUAACACAUGCAAGUCGAACGGUAACAGGAAGAAGCUUGCUUCUUUGCUGACGAGUGGCGGACGGGUGAGUAAUGUCUGGGAAACUGCCUGAUGGAGGGGGAUAACUACUGGAAACGGUAGCUAAUACCGCAUAACGUCGCAAGACCAAAAAGGGGGACCUUCGGGCCUCUUGCCAUCGGAUGUGCCCAGAUGGGAUUAGCUAGUAGGUGGGGUAACGGCUCACCUAGGCGACGAUCCCUAGCUGGUCUGAGAGGAUGACCAUCCACACUGGAACUGAGACACGGUCCAGACUCCUACGGGAGGCAGCAGUGGGGAAUAUUGCACAAUGGGCGCAAGCCUGAUGCAGCCAUGCCGCGUGUAUGAAGAAGGCCUUCGGGUUGUAAAGCACUUUCAGCGGGGAGGAAGGGAGUAAAGUUAAUACCUUUGCUCAUUGACGUUACCCGCAGAAGAAGCACCGGCUAACUCCGUG
rnacentral:rRNA from 1 species